rnacentral:rRNA from 1 species
UACGGAAGGGGCAAGCGUUGUUCGGAAUCAUUGGGCGUAAAGGGCGGCGUAGGUGGUUCUGUAUGUCUACCGGUGAAAGCAUACAGCUCAACUGUAUUUUGUCGGUAGAAACUGCAGGACUUGAGGCUGGGAGGGGCUGGUGGAAUUCCCUGUGUAGCGGUGAAAUGCGUAGAGAUGGGGGAGAACACUCGUGGCGAAGGCGGCCAGCGUAGACCAGUUCUGACACUGAGGCGCGACAGCGGUGGGGAGCAAACAGG